AUUGAACGCUGGCGGCAGGCCUAACACAUGCAAGUCGAGCGGAUGAAGGGAGCUUGCUCCUGGAUUCAGCGGCGGACGGGUGAGUAAUGCCUAGGAAUCUGCCUGGUAGUGGGGGAUAACGUCCGGAAACGGGCGCUAAUACCGCAUACGUCCUGAGGGAGAAAGUGGGGGAUCUUCGGACCUCACGCUAUCAGAUGAGCCUAGGUCGGAUUAGCUAGUUGGUGGGGUAAAGGCCUACCAAGGCGACGAUCCGUAACUGGUCUGAGAGGAUGAGCAGUCACCCUGGAACUGAGACACGGUCCAGACUCCUACGGGAGGCAGCAGUGGGGAAUAUUGGACAAUGGGCGAAAGCCUGAUCCAGCCAUGCCGCGUGUGUGAAGAAGGUCUUCGGAUUGUAAAGCGCUUUAAGUUGGGAGGAAGGGCAGUAAGUUAAUACCUUGCUGUUUUGACGGUACCAACAGAAUAAGCACCGGCUAACUUCGUG
rnacentral:rRNA from 1 species